UGACUUGGCAUUUUCAGGGCAUAAUGACUUAGAUUUCAAUCAAACUUUACUUUUUGCUGUAAGAUUACAGGUCAAAGGUCACUGCUUCAGCGGUAAUGGAAAGCUAAAUGCAAUGAAAAUGCAAACGCUUCGCUGUAUCAGGUCUCAAGCUGGACUGAGACAGUCCUGCUGAAUUGACCGGUUUAGACCAGCAGGAUUCCAUCUCUUUGUUGGGUCUGGCUAGUUUGUGCUGGUUUGAAGCUGGUUUUGCCGAUUGGACAUGGAUAUCUGUGUCAAAAUAAGCGUAUUAAUCUUCAAACGGAGGGAAACUCAAUCAAAAGGCAUGGAAAACAAAAACAUUCCCAUGAGCUGAUAAGCAGAUGUGUGCGGCCUGCAGAAGAUGAGAGCAUCUGACCUGCUUCUGAGGUUAUUGUAAAACAGUAAACAUGAUUAUGAACUUACAGUUUGACAUUACAAAUCUCUCCUGCUGUCACUUUUGCCUCAGCUGACACAGCAAUGGACCGUUCAGAUGCAUAUUGCA